rnacentral:rRNA from 1 species
UAGCAUCGGAACAUGUCCAUUCGUGGGGGAGUAGCCCGGCGAAAGCCGGAUUAAUACCGCAUACGCCCUGAGGGGGAAAGCGGGGGACUUCGCAAGAGGCCUCGCGCGAAUGGGUUGGCCGAUGUCCGAUUAGCUAGUUGGUGGGGUAAAGGCUUACCAAGGCGAUGAUCGGUAGCUGGUCUGAGAGGAUGAUCAGCCACACUGGGACUGAGACACGGCCCAG